GUGAGACCCUGUCUUUACAAAAAAUAAAAAAAUUAGCCAAGCGCAGUUAGCUUACACCUAUAGUCCUGGCUACUUAGGAGGAGGCAAGAGGAUUGCUUGAGCCCAAGAAUUUGAAGUUAGUGAACUAUGAUCGCUACUGUACUGCAGUCGGGGCAACAGAGCAAGAGCCUGUCUCUAAAAAAACAACCAGCCAAACCAACAGAAACACACAAAUGCCUUUGUAGUAGGGCCUGAUCCAUUAAAACGUGUUCCUUUUUCUUUCCUUUCCCUGGGCUAGCCCCCUUAACUGUUAGCACCUGGCCCUCUGACACAGUACCUCCAAGCAGCCGUGGCCACUUGGAAGUCCUGCCCCAUUAAAGGCCUUCCCUACAAUUCCUGGAAGUGAUAUCUGAAUAGUGGAUCUUCAGUUCUGAGCCUCUCAUUUCUGCUUCUGCAGACACCCAGGCUCUGUUCUACCCCUACUUCACCUUCUCCUCCAGCUCAGCUGCUCCUUCUUAGGCUAAGCUCUCAGGGAUCAUCCUUCUCAUCCAGACAUGGCCCUUUUUUCUUAUACACUCCAUCCCUGUAGUUUCACUUAUACCCAUGGGUUCAACCACCCAACAACUCGCAAACCAGUCCAGACCUCUCUACUGAGUCCUAGAUCUAAUCUUCCAACUACUCUUUGGAUAGCACUUUAACACACCUUUCUCCUUUUGGCUUUCCUCAGUGGCUUCCCUUCCCAGAGUGAGGUCCAACGUACUUCUCCAGUGUUAUGGGCCGAAUGUGUCCCCCACCAAAUUCAUAUGUUGAAGCCCUAACUCCAAUGUUACAGUAUUUAGAGAUGGGGCUUCUCAGAGUUAACUAGGGUUAGAUAAGGUCAUGAGUACAGCCCUCAUGACGGGAUCAGUGGCCUUGUAAGAGGGUGAGCUCUCCCCAGUGCAUGGACCAAGGGAAAGGCCAUGUGAUGACAUUGAGAAGGUGGCCUUUCCAAGCUAGGAAGAGUCCUCACCUGAAAUUGAAUUGGCUGGUACUCUGAUCUUAGAAUCCCCGGCCUCCAGAACGGUGAAAAAAUGAACUCGAUAAAAAUCCUCUGAAGUCACCUGUAGUAUUUUGUUAUGGCAGGCUGAGACACCCAGAAAGCUCUACAUCACCUGGUAUUUACCCACCCCUCUGAUCUUAUGUCUUCUAUUCUCUUUGUUCUGUUUUAGACACACUGUCUUCCUUAGGUUCUUCAGACAUACCAAGCAUGCUCAGGCUUCAAGGCGUUGGCACUUAACUGGUAUAAAUGGAUGGGCUUUAUGGGGAAGAGGUUAUCCGUAACUCCCUAGAAUUUAUAAGCAAUGCUUUGCAUAUGUACAGUUUCCUGGGGAUAGGACUUGUAGUUUUGAUCAGAUUCUCUAUGUGAACACUGAUAUCCCCCAGCCCCAGUACACUGCUGUGAUCUCUCCUCCUACCUUCCACACAGCUGUUGCUUAACUAUCUAAAACACAGAUGUGUUACUACCAUCACUCCUUCAGUUUUAAAACUUGAACUGUCUCCUCACUCCCUAGUGGACAGUGUACAAUCUUCUCAGCUUACCAUAUAAAGCCUCUCACACCUCAGCUUCAGCUUACCUUUCAAGGUUUAUUUCUCAUUCUCCCCGUUCUCUGAAUACAGCAUGUCUCUCUAGACUUCCUUGCCUUUGUACUUGCAAUUCCUUCUGCCCAGGAGGCCUUCCCUUUCUGUCUCUAUAUAGUGAACUCCUUCCUACUCAUCCUUUAGGACCCAGUCCAGAAGGCAGCUCCUACAGCAGUUCUUCCCACCCAGCCGGCCACACUUCCAUUUUGCUGUCAAGUGCUCUGUCUUGCCUCACUGACACACGUCACCUGGAUGACAGGCCAAAAAGAGCCCCAUCAUCUCUCCUAUCAUUCUUCAAGACAGACAGAAAUGAUUAAACAGAAUUUAUUGGCUGUCUUUGAGUGUCUCUGGUCCAGUGUUGGCAGGGCUGUCUGGGCUCCUCUGCUUUGCUUGUUUUUGGGCUGCUGCUGCAGCCUUUAAGGCUCUUUUUUCCUUCUUCAGCUUUUGAGUCUCCUGGAAAACCUGGGGGUGAAAAGGGGCAGAAAAAGACCUUGUAAUCCUGUGCAAAACCUCAGACUUGGAACAGGUGGGGUGGGAACUAUCUCCCCCAGAUGGUAACCCCAGCCUUUCUCCAUGGGGUUGGUGGCCUCCUGUGACCUCCCUGGAUCCAUUCCAGGGCCUGGGACCAGUUCCAUGCCUCUAACAGAAACAGAUGACCCCUCCCGUCUGCUUCCUCCAUCCCAGUUCCUGAGUGGGGCCAAGCAAAGCAGCAAUUCUGACUCAUACCCGAAUGCACAGAGCCUUCUUGGUCACGAAUCGGCGGUGGGCUCUUCGGUAAUACAGAGGAGGGAAGGUGUACUCAAUCCCCAGCUCCCUGCAGAUCUUCUCAAAGACAUCAUAGUUGGUGUUACGGAGGUUUUUGAGCAUCUUUUUCCUCUGGUCAAUGCUCAUCAGCAGAUAGCGUUUGUGGGCUUUGUCCUGUAAGAGAUUCGCAUUACUUUUAGUAUUAUAUAAGUGUUACUAUUGUUUACAUUAACAAACAAUGGUCAUUUUAUCAUUUCA